rfam:Oryza barthii chromosome 11, whole genome shotgun sequence.
AAUAAGUGCAGUUUUGCACUAUUCACGUUCAACGUUUGACCGUCCGUUUUAUUUGAAAAUUUUUUAUGAUUAGUAUUUUUAUUGCUAUUAGAUGAUAAAACAUGAAUAAUACUUUAUGUGUGACUAAAUGUUUUUAGUUUUGUCACAAAUUUUUCAAAUAAGACGGACGGUCAAACGUUGAACGUGAAUAGUGCAAAACUGCACUUAUU